UACGGAGGAUCCUAGUGUUAUCCGGAUUUAUUGGGUUUAAAGGGAGCGUAGGCGGGAGGUCAAGUCAGCUGUGAAAUGUAUCUGCUUAACGGGUACACUGCAGUUGAAACUGGUUUUCUUGAGUGUCGGAGAGGUAAGCGGAAUUCCUAGUGUAGCGGUGAAAUGCGUAGAUAUUAGGAGGAACACCGGUGGCGAAGGCGGCUUACUGGACGAUUACUGACGUUGAGGCUCGAAAGCGUGGGGAGCAAACAGGAUUAGAUACCCCGGUAGUCCCUGAGCGGGCU
rnacentral:rRNA from 1 species